ensembl:lncRNA
ACAAGUCAGGGCUAUUUUCCCCACCCCGCCCCUACCCCCAGGAAACACCAGCAACCAAUCUUCUUAAUCUGGGCUAAUCUUCUUAAUCUCCAGAUCUUCUGAAUACAGGGACGGCUGCAAGGCCCCGGCGUCUCAUUCCCUCCUUCUGUUUCCUUUGGAGCAUGAGUCCCCUACCUUUUCAGCCCCCAACAAGCCCCGCGUCCCCCCCUCUACGUCACAAGGCCAGGCCCCCUUCUGAGGACAGUGCCCCGAAGAGUUGAUUCCCCCGGCACCUCCCGCUCCCUCUCAAAGCACCGCCUGUUCUGCGGGUCUGCCCCCAGGCGGGCAUAAACACCCCCAGCGAGGAAUGGCCCCAGGCAGCACUGGAGCCCUCCGCUCCCUCCACCACCGGGUCUGUCCCAGCUAGAGGGAGGGGAGAGGGAGAGGGGGCUUCCCUCUGGCUCAGAAUCGUCCACCCUGAGUAAUUAGCUGCCAAAUAAAACGCAAACUCGCCAAAGGAGAUCAGAGGUCCCCCCACAGCUUCUCCAAACUCCUCCUGCCCCAGAGGCUGCUGGGAGGGCCAGAAACCCCAGGAGGCCAGAAAGCCACCUGCUGGGGCACAGGGUCUCUUUUCAGAUCGGAAGCUAAAACCCUCCUUUCAAGCCCUCCCCUGUCAGGCCUGCCGAGCCAGCCCACACCUUCUCUCUCAGGGCUGGCACUCUGGCCCCUCGCCCACCCGCUCCUCAGCCUAGGAAUGGAAAAUGGGUUUGGCAGACACCACUGGUCGCCUGCCGGUGUCCCUUUUCCUCUUGUCUGAUACUGUUCAGGCUGACUCUUGGUGGCCCCAUGGCCCAUGCCCCUGAUUUGUUUAGGGGGAGUGGGAAGUGCGGUCCAGCACAGCCAAGGACACAGGAAGGGAGGGGCUGGAACCAAACAGCCACCAUGGACCAUGAAGAGGAAGCCACUUGAAGAAGAGAGCUGGGGCUGGCCCGUGGCCGAGUGGUUAAGUUCGUGCGCUCUGCUUCGGCGGCCCAGGGUUUCGCUGGUUCGGAUCCUGGGCACGGACAUGACACCACUCAUCAGGCCACGCUGAGGCGGCGUCCCACAGAGCUCAACCAGAGGCACUCACAACUAGGGUAUACGACUAUGUACUGGGGGCUUCGGGGAGAAGAAGAAGAAGAAGAAAAAAAGAAGAUUGGCAACAGUUGUUAGCUCAGGUGCUGAUCUUUAAAAAAGAAAUAAAAAUAAACAAGAGAGCUGAGCAGCAAGAAAGAAUGAUUGACAUUGACUCUGAGAAACUUCUCUUCCACCUUCUAGGUUCUUGAUUGUUUGAGAGAGAAAUAAACUUCUGUCUUUGGGGCACUGUUUUUCUCCUCGGGGUGGUGUCUGUCACCCACAGCUGAACUUAAUCCUGGUCCCUACAGACUAGAACCUAGAUCUGUCUGUCCCCAAGGAACCUAUCCUCGGGGACCCUACCUAUCUACCGAGGAGCCCACCACUCCGUCUUAAGUCCUGAUGGAAGGCUGCAGUGCUCAGGAUGUGCCAAUGAGAGGCCCAUUAGAGCAGGCAAGCCCUGGCUCCAGCUGAGCCUCCCGUGCCGAGUUCUGGUUAGAAGGUGCCGGUGGCCACCGUGGAGUUCCCGAAAUGGCUGGAGGUUCAGUUUGGCGGAAGGGCAGGAAAAGAGCUUGACGAGUGGGGAGGCUGAGGACAGAGGACUGGCUGGAGAUUACAUGCUGACUGGCUUAAAUCCAGCAUUUGGGAAAGCAGGAAGUCCACCCAAACCCACCUGCAGACAGUUAGAAGAGCGUGGAAGCGAGGAGGCCUCACGCGGCCGACCUCACCCUCGGAGUGCCUGUGAGUGACUCCCUGUACCCACCACGCAGAAAGGACCCCCGGGGCUCCCCUUCCACCACCUGGGGAGACAGAGUGCCACAGCGCGCCAGUGGCCACAUAGUGGCCAUCUGUGUUCCGGCAGCCCUGCACCUGUGCACCCUUCUCAGCACCAACACCACCCAACUUUCCCCUGGGAAUCCCCACCCUCCCUUCAGCCCAGGGCUUCAAAGGCAGCUGACUCCACCCCAGGUCCAGGGACACCACGUGCCUCAGACCUGGCCAAAGUGCCUGUAUUCCCCCAGCCAUUCUGAUUGGUCGGGGAGACCAUGUGAUCCAGGGAGACCCAGUGCCGAGUCUGUCAGAGGAGAGCAGACUUUCUUUUCCAUGAAUUGAACCUGGGAGGAUGUAACCCUGAGGCUGCUCAAAGCCGUUUUGCUACCAGAUGGAGCCUCAGGAUGAAGCAGAAACGGGAAGAGCCAAGAGACAGGCCUCCCGGUCCCAGCUGGAUCCUGUCCUGAGGCUCAUUGCCCCUCACGUUUAUAGAUAUCAGUACAUUUCUUCUCCCGUCACCACCCAGAACUCCUUGCUUGUGCACAUUCUGGUCUCUCGAACUAGGACACCAUUUCUUCCCCAGCUGGGAAGGUCUCCCCCUCCAGCGUCUUAAGGCCAGCUUACACCGCCCCUCCCCUGAGGAGGCCGCUCUCAUCCUCUGCCCUGGUUGAGCAUAGGACACCUGCAACAAACCAUUUCCACGUCUGCUCCACCGCCAGCAUAGGAGUUUCUCAAGGAUAAGACCUGCGUCUCCUUUAACUCUGUGUCUAGCACCCAGCAUCCAGUAGGCACUCACUACAUGUUAGUUGAAUAAAUAAAUGAAUGACUGCAGAGGAGCAAGCUAAUCGUUCAUCAAGUUUAUGGAUGACAUGAAAUUGGGAGCGGUUUCUAGCCAGAGGUUGGAAUCGUAAAGCAGAUUGGCUUUUGCAAAUGAGAAUAUGACAAGGCUGAAUCGGAACCGGAUGACGUUCAUUAAGUAACUAGUUUGAAGAAGUCGCUGCAAGUCUGAGAGCUGGGGUGUGAUGGUUUCUGCGCAUAUUCUAAGGCAAGCUGUGGGUGGCAGACUGGAUGGAGCAAAGAAGCUGGCCAUCAAGGGCUGGUCUCCCCUUUGAGGUCAGUUUGUGGGCUUGUGACAAACAAGACCCAGGAAAGUCCUUCUGUCUCCAGAAAGGCGCUUCUAGCACUGUAUUUGGGGAGAUGCAGGGAAGCAAGAAAAAACAUUUAAAAUAGUGAAAGGAAAGACAAAUUGGAUUUCUGAAGUCGCGUUACAGAGACUGGGGUUGCUGCAUCUGGAAGGAAAAGAGAGAGAAAACCGUUUCCCAACUGUGCUUUAAUGAGCGGCAGCUCCCCAGAGUGAGACGGUGCCCCAGAGGGGAGGGACGGGCGAGGAGACUGUGGCAGUCCGCCCUGCCCCCACCGCAGCCUCGGGAGUUGCCGCCACCCCUGCUGUUUACGCUUUUAUCGUUUGCAAUGAAGGACGAUGAUGUGUGUGUGCGCUGUAUUGAUUGUGCCUCUUAGAUUUUUAUGUCACUGUGGAAAGCAGCAAUUAUGCUUGCCAGCUCUGGAGGGAGCAAACGGCCCUGGCGGGGGAGGACGGCGCAGGGCCGGGAGAGCUCACGAGGCAGCCGGAGGGGUCCAGCUCGGGGGCUG